rnacentral:lncRNA from 1 species
CAGCAAUCUGCAUCUUCCCCUAACGUGGGUGGGAAGGAGAGUCUGGGCAGUUGUGUGCACCGCUCCCAACUAACAGCUCUGGCAUCUACUCUCUCUGGGCCUUACUUUCUCCCCUGUCACGUUGAGGGACAGAGGGGAAGCAGGAACACUUUAUAAUCCUGUCUUCCUCCUCAUAUCGAGCGCCACCAUUAGCCCAAAGGAUGCCUUCACGUGACUAAAAAGGCGACCCUUCCUCCAGAUGUUCCCAUUCAUUUGACAAAAGACGGUUGAUGGGAAGGUUGCAAUGGGUGGAUUUCAAGCUACUGCACGACGUGGCUCCACGCGAGAACACCGUCAAGUGUCUCUCCAAGAAGCACUGACGGCAGCAGGACCAGAAGGUUCUACUUCUCUACUGAUUCCUUCGCUGCUCUCAUAAUCCCAGAUCGUCAGCAGACCUGCAUUCACAAGGAUGUGUCUCACCGAGGACAGGCGUCUCCCAGCAAUGUUCCCUGCAACAGCCCCGAGCUCAAGGACCCCGGGCUGUGCAAGAUCACGUGAGACACUGAGGCUGUGGAACGGAAAGAAUUUGGUUGUUUUCCUGUGGCCUUUCUAAAAGGUCCAGAACACAGUCGUAAAACCAACAGAAGCCUCACUCAAGGAAACGACGAGGUCUCUUGGUUUAAUUCUCUCUGUGAAGAUGCAGGGCAGUAGACAGAGCAGCCAAGGGCUGGUGACCCCUUGACAAUUACGUAAGACGGGCUGAGAGCGUUCCUGGGUUGCACGUCAAUGCUCACGACUGGCUCGAGACACGUCUGUUUUUCAACAAAACGGGUGAGGAAUCAGUGCCCUGCUAAGUCGGGAGCUCUAAGGAGAAACCCCGGGAGAUCGCGUUGAUGGACACUUACCGCAGAAUGAACGUGGCCAGUGUGUUUGCGCGCGGUCGGCAGCAAGGUGACAGGUGAACACACAGCGGGGGAGGCAGAGGUCGGACACGACGAGGAGCCGCAGCAGUGGGGCCCCUUCCCCAGGCGACAGAAAGUCCUGGACACACUGUCCUCCGGGCGGCGCGCUGUGCCCGCCCCACACACCAGCUCACGGGCUGAGUACCCGCAGCUUUCGCAGGUGGAUCCUUCGCAGGAAAGGGGCUGACGGAGACGAAACCCGUUUUUCCGAGGAUUUUCUGUUCUCUGUUUUUACCGAAGAGAGAGACUUUCCCCAGACUGCCUUUUACUUUUUAAAACUAGAAUUCCAUU